UACGUAGGUGACCAGCGUUGUCCGGAUUUACUGGGCGUAAAGAGCGCGCAGGCGGUCGUUCAAGUCGAGUGUGAAAGCCCCCGGCUCAACUGGGGAGGGUCACUCGAUACUGAUCGACUGGAAGGCAGGAGAGGGAAGCGGAAUUCCCGGUGUAGUGGUGAAAUGCGUAGAUAUCGGGAGGAACACCAGUGGCGAAGGCGGCUUCCUGGCCUGUUCUUGACGCUGAGGCGCGAAAGCCAGGGGAGCAAACGGG
rnacentral:rRNA from 1 species